AGGGAAGAUCAGAUCGAGAAAUGAAGAGAGAGAGAGAGAGAGCGAGAGAGAGAGAGAGAGAGAGAGAGGAGGCAGCGGAUAUGGAUGGGGAGAGCUGUUGACGGAGAGAUUAAUGAGGAGAAGAAAUGGAGUGAGGAGAUGAGUUCAAGAACGUGGGGAGGGGACAAAGGGGAAACAAAAAAGAAUAGCAUAUCAAGAGUUGAGGCCCACCCACCGCCAACACCAAACCCCGGCCACAGCCAUCCCUUCCCCCCACUCUCUCCUUCCUUCCUUCCUCCCUCCCUCCCCUUGACUUGGCCAAACCCUAAUCCAAGCGCCUCCUAAAGCAAUCCCUUCCGCCCCUUCCUCCUCCCCAAAACAACCCCCUCCCCUCCGCAGGAAAGAUGAAUCGGUUGAUGGAGCUCUUCACUUCCAUUUUUGCAGCUUUCGAUUCCUAGAAAGAUUGGUAUUAGAAAAGCAAGGAAGGAGAGACAGACCGCCGCCUUCCUUUUCCCGUCUAGAGUACCUUUUUCUACUCCUCAUCAAAGCGUCCACCUUCGAUCUUGGUUUCAAGAACUAGAUCUCCUAUUUGUUUGAUCCGCACAGUUGCACUUCCUGAGGGUGCACACCAGCUAGUUUCGUUUUUUAUAAGCAAAGGAUAAAAAAAGAGAGAGGAACGGCGUUUAAGGAAUUGAUGGAUCCAAUUUCAGCAUCCACGCAUGGCCACCAUCUCCCUCCUCCCUUCCAUGGCCAAGAGUUCCAUCCCCUCCACUUUCAGCACCUUCAGCAACAGCAGCAGCUCAAGGUCGAGGAAGAACACAGCGGCCUCCGCCGUGGCACGAAGCGCGACCAUGACGACAGUAACAACGACGAGAAUAACAAUUCCAGCGGCGGCGACGGCAAGGAGCUGGCUCCAGCAACUUUCUCCGCCGGCGGAGAGGGGGAGAUCAUGCGCCGGCCGCGCGGCCGCCCAGCCGGGUCCAAGAACAAGCCGAAGCCGCCGAUCAUCAUCACCAGGGACAGCGCCAACGCGCUGCGGUCGCACGUGAUGGAGAUCGCGAGCGGGUGCGAUAUCGUCGAGAGCGUCGCCAGCUUUGCCUGCCGCCGGCAGCGCGGCGUCUGCAUCCUCAGCGGCAACGGCACCGUCACCAACGUCAACCUGCGCCAGCCUGCCUCUUCCAGCGCUGUCGUCAACCUUCGUGGCCGCUUCGAGAUUCUUUCUCUCUCCGGAUCUUUUCUUCCGCCGCCUGCACCACCUGCCGCCAGUGGCCUCACCAUAUACUUAGCCGGCGGGCAGGGCCAGAUUGUCGGGGGUAGCGUCGUCGGGGCUCUAAUAGCAUCAGGACCAGUAAUUAUAAUGGCCGCUUCCUUCGGAAACGCAGCCUACGAGAGGCUGCCCCUCGACGAGGAGGAACCUCUACAAGCUCAGCAGGGUGCUCUCGGGUCGCCUGGACUGGUAGGACAGUCGACUCCACCGCAGCAGCCCCAGCAGCAGCAGCUACUCGACCCCAACAAUCCGCUCCUCCACGGCAUCCCGCCAAACCUCCUCAAUAAUCUCCAGUUGCCAGCCGAGGCAUACAGCUGGGCCACCGGCGCAGGAGGGCGCGCCUCCUUCUGAUCCUAACAGCAAUUCACCACCCACUUUGUGAAGAAACCCCGCAGGAGCUCAUGCUGAUGCCAGCUUUAGCCUCAAUUCGGAAGAUUCAGGAAUUCUUCUCUCUCUUCUUUCUCUCAACUUAAUCUUCUUUUGCUGCUUUCUUCGUUUCCUUAUUUCGGUUCGGCAUAGGAUCAUCAUCCUCAUCUUUCUUCUGAUUUGGAGAAGCGUUGUACAAAACCAUGAGUUCUCGGAGUUUCGACUUCGAUGGCAGAAGAUAAGCUUAUGUGCAAAAGGCAUGCAUGCACGGUGGAAGAAGAGACCGAAAGAGUGAUGCGCCGUCGCUUCUUAUCUAGUAUGCUUGCAAGGGAAAGGGAAGGAAGGAGGAGAUCUGCAAGUUAACCCCGGAAAAAGAGUCUGUCUGUUUGUGCUGUUGUGACGAAGAAGGCGGUCGUGGCGCAGACAGAAGCCUGUAGUUACGGGUCUGUAAGCUCUUUAAGCAGACAGUCGGAGGAAUCGGAGCUGAGUCCCGAAGAGAGGGAGUAAAUGAGGGGUGUCGUCCUGUUCUGAGGAAGCUGUUUCCCGAGGCCAACAGCUUCACAGUGCAGCGAAAACUACGACAGGCGUUAUGCGUCUUGAGCUUCUCAUCACCCGGAAGGAAAUGUAGGAGGAAUGAGUGGAGAGAGAGAAGGAAAAGCUGAUGAUCUCGUAGUUUAACUACUCUUCUUGUCCUCAUCAAGUCCCAGUGGCAGCCUCUUUCUUCGUGCCGUUUCCUUGGAGGCUUUUACUCCAUUUUGGAUCUCGUUUUCCUCUCUUUUGGUUGCAUCCAUGACUAAGAGGUCUUCUUCAUCAUCAUUUGCGUUCAGGUGCAACUUGUGUUGAAUUUAGAUAAUUUU